rnacentral:rRNA from 1 species
AGAAUCAACGCUGGCGGCGUGCCUAACACAUGCAAGUCGAACGAGAAAGUGGAGCAAUCCAUGAGUAAAGUGGCGACCGGGUGAGUAACACGUGACUAACCUACCUUCGAGUGGGGGAUAACCUCGGGAAACCGAGGCUAAUACUGCAUAACAUCGCAAGAUCAAAGCAGCAAUGCGCUGGAAGAGGGGGUCGCGGCUGAUUAGCUAGUUGGCGGGUAACGGCCCACCAAGGCGAAGAUCGGUAG